rnacentral:rRNA from 1 species
GGGCGCAAGCCUGAUGCAGCGACGCCGCGUGAGGGAUGACGGCCUUCGGGUUGUAAACCUCUUUCAGUACCGACGAAGCGCAAGUGACGGUAGGUACAGAAGAAGCACCGGCCAACUACGUGCCAGCAGCCGCGGUAAUACGUAGGGUGCGAGCGUUGUCCGGAAUUACUGGGCGUAAAGAGCUCGUAGGCGGUUUGUCGCGUCGUCUGUGAAAACCCGCAGCUCAACUGCGGGCUUGCAGGCGAUACGGGCAGACUUGAGUACUGCAGGGGAGACUGGAAUUCCUGGUGUAGCGGUGAAAUGCGCAGAUAUCAGGAGGAACACCGGUGGCGAAGGCGGGUCUCUGGGCAGUAACUGACGCUGAGGAGCGAAAGCGUGGGUAGCGAACAGGAUUAGAUACCCUGGUAGUCCACGCCGUAAACGGUGGGCGCUAGGUGUGGGUUUCCUUCCACGGGAUCCGUGCCGUAGCUAACGCAUUAAGCGCCCCGCCUGG